UACAGGGGGUGCAAACGUUGCUCGGAAUCAUUGGGCGUAAAGCGCACGUAGGCGGUCUGUUAUGUCGGAUGUGAAAGCCCUUGGCUUAACUGAGGAAGUGCAUCCGAAACUGGCAGGCUAGAGUACUAAAGAGGGUCGCGGAAUUCCCGGUGUAGAGGUGAAAUUCGUAGAUAUCGGGAGGAACACCAGUGGCGAAGGCGGUUGCCUGGAGCUUUGCUGACGCUGAGGCGCGAAAGCGUGGGGAGCGAACAGG
rnacentral:rRNA from 1 species